rnacentral:rRNA from 1 species
AACGAACGCUGGCGGCGGGCCUAACACAUGCAAGUCGAACGCUGUAGCAAUACAGAGUGGCAGACGGGUGAGUAACGCGUGGGAACCUUCCCAAUGGUACGGAAUAGCCCAGGGAAACUUGGGGUAAUACCGUAUACGCCCCUAGGGGGAAAGAUUUAUCGCCAUUGGAUGGGCCCGCGUCGGAUUAGCUAGUGGGUGAGGUAAUGGCUCACCAAGGCAACGAUCCGUAGCUGGUUUGAGAGAAUGACCAGCCACACUGGGACUGAGACACGGCCCAGACUCCUACGGGAGGCGGCAGUGGGGAAUCUCGGACAAUGGGCGCAAGCCUGAUCCAGCCAUGCCGCGUGAGUGACGAAGGCCUUAGGGUUGUAAAGCUCUUUUGCCGGGGACGAUAAUGACGGUACCCGGAGAAUAAGUCCCGGCUAACUUCGUGCCAGCCGCCGCAGUAA